CAGCAUGUUUCCAAGGGCUGUGGCUGCUGGUGGCCACCGGUUCUCCAACUGCAUGCGAAAGCAACAUGGAGGGACUUUGACAGUCCAGGUCACACCAUACCUGCAGCUGCCACUCGCCUUUCCUAUAAAA
rnacentral:snoRNA from 1 species